GGCUACCACCAGGGGGUCACUGAGUUUGGAACACAUCCUCCCCCUUCAGCGGGAGGGGCAUUGGUAUGAACACACUCUAGGCAGCUCAGCCACAAGAGCUAAAAAAAGAAAUUCUGAGUGGCUUGAAAGACGGAUGUCGAAAAACAAAGACAGUGGAAUGAAACCAGUGUCCUGCCAGCCUGGAGCAACCAUUACCACUAGGCAAAGGGACAGAGCUGACUGCGGGCUUCGAAGGGGGCAGAAAAAGGAAAGAGAGCGAGAAAACAACUCAGUCAGAAAACAUCUGAGCAAUCAACUGGCCUGAAAUCCCGAGUAGGCUAGGAGCCACCAACCAGCCAGGCAUGUGCGGAUGGAUGUCUGUGGUAGUCUGUGGGCAACGAACAGAAAACUGCCCCGUGGUGGGGAGCGAGGAAGCUUGCAAGGGAGUCGGGAUGGAAAACCAUGUGCGUCAAAGGAUGUCUCAGCUGCCUUACCUGGAAAUGUUCGGUCAUUGGGGCUGGCACUGCCGGUCCAGGUGCUUCUGAGCCACUUGGCAUGGUCAUACAUCCAACCACAGGGCUCCUCAGGGAAAUCAAAGUUGCAGUUGAAUCCGGAAGGGAGUUGUAAAUCUUUGUCUAAAAGAAGAAGAAAAGUAACUAAAAGGCCAGCAAGCAAAGCGGGUCCAGCGGGCCCAGCGGGCAGUCACAGCAAUGUCCCUUCAAUAGCUGGCCUGGCCCUGAGCACCAAGCAGAGAAAGAAGGGCUUCCUUUUGCUCAUUUAUUUCACUCGUCUUGGUGAUUGCUGACUUUCAGGUCAGGCUUUGGUCUCAUCCUUCCCAGCAUGAAGACCAAGUCGGCCAGUGGUUCCCAAAGUAAGCAAUUAUAAAGAGACCUCCCCAAAUGGCUUCAGGAGCUAAUCAGCCUCCUCCAUCUGCCUCAUACAGCAGACAAGUGGGAAAAUUGCUACUCCCUAGAUGCCAGAGAAGAAUGUCUUCAGUGGCCUGCUGACUUCUGAGAGGAUCAUCUCAAGUCCUGCCAGCCUGGCUCUCAGAAGUGAUGGGGAGACCUGGAUGCCGGGGAACUUCUGGGUGAGACAGACAGUGACCUCAGAAGCAAGGGAUGGCUUGUUUGCCGUCUCUUACCACUCUGCAACACAGCCCUUAUUCCAGAGGGAUGGCAUAGGUUGGCCUUGUCAGGAGGGAAAUCUAACAUGUUAAGAGUGAAAACGAGGGGCUGGGGCACCCUUAGAGCUGCCCAGCUCAGAGCUGAGUAAGUUGGGGCAUGUUUUUAUCUGCUAGGUUGGGGGCUCAGGCUAGUCAUGCCAGUUACUGAGCAGCACAUGUGCGGAGCUCCUGAGAGCUGAGAGGGAAGAACGUGUUCUCUGCAGCUCUACAAAGUGACCACAAUGGCUCACCCUGGCUGCUUUACAGAGUUACCUAGUUGAGUCCAAAGGCGGAACCAAGUGGGUUUUCUCUGGGGUUCCACCCAGAUCUAAAAACCCAGUAUGAGUUAAUGCUAAUCUUGGAAUUAAUAGGGGGUGGUACAAAGGUGGGGAAAGAGAAAAUGGGAACCCAAACAUGGAUACUUGCCAGGACAGAGGAAAAGAGUUAGCAAUGCUAGUGGCCCAGGGGACGUGGGGUCUUUGGCCUUCUCACUUCCCUUCCUAAGUUCCCAGAGAAGAAUUUCCACGGGGAAGGUUAAGAAUGGUCUAACGGCGACAGCAGCUGGGUAGAGACAAAUUGCCCACCAUGGGGUGGAGGAUGCUUGGCUUUAGAGGCAAGGGUACUGCUGAUCUCAGCAGCAGGACGCAGAUUGCCCGCAGACCCUACUGUGUCCAGCCUGCCCAAGAGGGAACAUUUAAUGUUGGCCCACCCUUAGCCAAAGUCAGCUGGAGUGCAAAGGGAACACAUGGAACCCAUCACAGAAAUAUCAACCUGUGGCUUGGGAAAGUCGGCUCUAGCCCUCACCACUCCUUCUCUCCAAACUUCUCCACAUGUCUAUUUUUCCGUUCAAAAGUACAGGGUAAUUCAAUAUACCAUAAUUCCUCUGCAAUGUUUAUAUGCAUACUAUAUCUCAGGAACUAAAUUCCACAAAAAGAUCUUUUACUAAAAAGAAGGGAGGGACCAUCAAAGAAACCUCAAAUCAAACAAACCACUGUAAACGGUAAAAUUAUAUUAAAAAUAAACUUCUGAAAUUUUGCAGCAGAGCCCUUAAAUUUUCCUUUGGAUUGCCGUUUAGCUAGACUCCCCAUUCCCAUGCUCCUGACACGCUAACUCUGAAUCUAAUACCAUGCAUUAACUCCGUGUGUUUCUUUUUCAGCUCUCUGUUUUAGAUAUGUCUUGGAAGAUUCUCCACUUCUCAUUAUGAAACUAAAACAAGUUCAUUAAAAUGUCAAGGUUUUGUAUUCAACUAACCCUGACCAGCAGUGUCCCCUACCCACACAAUAUACCAGAGCACACUCCCUAAAACACAUGCAUUCGAUUCUCAUUUUUCAACCCCACAGUUUCAGCAUUAAUUUUUGGCUUUCACCCCACUCUUCUUACUGGAAGCCAUCCAUACCAUCGGGCAGUUUCUCAAGCCGCCCUCUGGCUGUGAGCGGGCUCCCUGGUCCCAUCACUAACUACAUCUUUGAGUCCCUUCUCAAGCGUCUUUGCUAAUCUUUCCUCAUUUUGUUUAAUGAACAUUUAAUAAUAAUCAGCAAUUUAAUGUAAACUGAGUUUUUCAAACUUAAAAGUCCAACCCUAAAGGCCAGGUGCUGUAGAAGUUGGGACUUAUUAGGAGUGUCCUAGUGCAUGGUGACCUGAACAGUAGGAAUAGACACAGCACUUGAUUUUCAGAUCUUCCGAUCCCUGGCUUUCUCUGCCUUGGAUAAAAAGGGGAAUAAAGAUUUCCCAUGCGAAGAGAUGAUCCUAACACUAGCAUCUUGGGCUUUUGGGAACUGGCUGAGGGUCCCUCACAUCCUGCCUUUGUCCCAGGCCUGUAAGAUGUGACAUGAGUCUGAGAAUCACCCGCUACAGUUUGUAAAUCAAGGAUGUUGUAAGACACAGGGAAGUGCAUUGGUUCUGGGUAAUUGUCGAACUAACUUGGCUAUCACAGACAAUGACCCCCCACCUAAGAAGGACACCAGGUCGUCACAUGGCCGAGGCACAUGUUAACAGAAGCUCUUCCUGCUGGUAAUUCUUGGCUGAGGCUGGUUUUCCUUUAACUAAUCAAGGCAGUGAGGACCUUAGCAGUGGGUUUGUAUCUAUAGGGCUAUACUAGUUGGUACAAUAUCUGAGUGUUUCUAGCAGCCACGGCCUCAGGCCUCUGAGUAUUUGCACCUCCCUGAACCCUCCUGUAAGUUCCUGUGACCCUCUAACCAAGGCAUCUCAAGCUCUCGCCCGAUCACAGGUCGUCUGCCUGGUCCAUACCCGGGCCACCCCGGGUGAACUGGGGUGAGCAUUCCCGUUCUCACCGUCCUCAAAGCUGCAGUUCUCCCCACACUCCGUGACGUCCUCGUCCAUGGGGUAUGGGGUGGUAGUUUCUUCAUUCUUUACGGUGGGGCCCAGUGUCUCCACUGUGGGCUUUGAGUCUGCGCGAAGGGGAAGGGAGAAAAGAAAAAUGUCUCAGCAGGAUGCUCUGUAACCCGGCAGGGGAAGAAGCCAAAAACUAAAAUCUUCUUUGUAGGUGUGAACUUGUGAGCAGGAAAGGGAAGACACGCAGAUGUGAACACAACCUGAGCUCACCCUCGGGAACUGUCAGUGGAGCCAUGAGGGUCACUUCAGCUGAGAGAAGCUGCAACAGACAUCGGCACAAAGCCAUGCUCCUGACCCCACCCUGGAGGCUCUAAGGGCAGCACAGAAGUGGCAGUCAUGAGGGCGGAUGACACUGACCCCUAAGUGGUGUAGGCCACACAAUCAAAAUGCUGCCCACCAAAAUUGACUGAAAAAUCUCCAUGCUUAUUGAGAUUACAUGGGAAACGGGCCCCGAGCGCUCUGCUGUUUCAGGACUGCUGGUGGGCCUCGCUGCUUGGCCCUGCUUUCUCAAAAAACACAUUUUCACUAUGCUAGACAGGAUUUAUUUGGACUCAAAACUAACUCCAUAAAACAAUUUGGCCUGUGGGGCCCACCUACAAUAAAAUAAUCAGAAGCACUUGUCA